UAUUUUACCUCCAAAAAUACUACUGGGAAGAAAUAGAAAUGAAUUUGGACAAAUUCAUGAAUAACAUGGUUAGAAAAAGCUUUUCAGAAAGUUAACAAGAAGGACAUGUGGCCAGAGAUGAAAUAAUCGAGAAGUUGCUAAGGAUGCUCUCACACACAUCCUAAAUAUCAGUGAAGCUACAUGGAGUCCUGGUUCAUAAAGAUUUCCCUUAAAAUGUCAAAGUUUGAUUCUUAAAAUAAACAUCCUUGUGUGAAA